rnacentral:rRNA from 1 species
GUAGGUGGCAAGCGUUGUCCGGAAUUAUUGGGGCGUAAAGCGCGCGCAGGCGGUUCUUUAAGUCUGAUGUGAAAGCCCACGGGCUCAACCGUGGAGGGUCAUUGGAAACUGGAGAACUUGAGUACAGAAGAGGAAAGCGGAAUUCCACGUGUAGCGGUGAAAUGCGCAGAGAUGUGGAGGAACACCAGUGGCGAAGGCGGCUUUCUGGUCUGUAACUGACGCUGAGGCGCGAAAGCGUGGGGAGCAAACAGGAUUAGAUACCCUGGUAGUCCACGCCGUAAACGAUGAGUGCUAAGUGUUAGGGGGUUUCCGCCCCUUAGUGCUGCAGCUAACGCAUUAAGCACUCCGCCUGGGGAGUACGGCCGCAAGGCUG